AAAUAUUCCAACACCUGCUUUAGAUUCGAUGGAGUGACGGGGUAGUGAAAGAUCCGCCUGGUGACGGAAUACCAGGUUAAAGGGAGUAGUUAUAUUUUUUACAGGCAAAUCCGUAAGAAAUGACGAACCUGAUAGUACAGCAAAGCUUCGGCAGAGCUGAUAGUGAUCCUAAUCAAACCUCCGAGAAAAACUUCUAAGUUAUGUUUAAAGCAGCCCGUACCGCAAACCGACACAGGUGGGUGGGAUGAAUAUUCUAAGGCGCUCGGGUGAGCCGUGGAGAAGGAACUAGGCAAAUUGACGCUGUAACUUCGGGAUAAAGCGUACCCUCUACGUAAGUAGAAGGUCUCAGUAAAAUGGUGCAACCAACUGUUUAGCAAAAACACAGGGCCCUGCAAAAUCGAAAGAUGACGUAUAGAGCCUGAUACCUGCCCGGUGCUGGAAGGUUAAGGAAGGGUGUUCGUCGCAAGACAAAGCUCCUGACUGAAGCCCCAGUAAACGGCGGCCGUAACGAUAACGGUCCUAAGGUAGCGAAAUUCCUUGUCGGGUAAGUUCCGACCUGCACGAAUGGUCUAAUGAGUUGCACACUGUCUCCUCCACGAGCCCGGUGAAAUUGUAGUAUCGGUGAAGAUGCCGGUUACCCGUCACGGGACGAAAAGACCCCAUGAACCUUCACUACAACUUUGCAUUGAUUUUGAAUUUUUGAUGUGUAGGAUAGUUGGGAGACUUUGAAGCGGUGUCGCUAGGCAUCGUGGAGUCAACGUUGAAAUACCAACCUUUAAACAUUUAGAAUCUAACCCGCCAAUGGUGGGCACAGUGCAUGGUGGGUAGUUUGACUGGGGUGGUCGCCUCCUAAAAUGUAACGGAGGCUUGCAAGGUUCCCUCAGUACGGUUGGUAAUCGUACAUAGAGCGUAUUAGUAUAAGGGAGCUUGACUGUGAGACUUACAAGUCGAGCAGGGACGAAAGUCGGCUAAAGUGAUCCGGUGGUUCUGUAUGGAAGGGCCAUCGCUCAAAGGAUAAAAGGUACUCUGGGGAUAACAGGCUGAUCUCCCCCAAGAGCUCAUAUCGACGGGGAGGUUUGGCACCUCGAUGUCGGUUCGUCACAUCCUGGGGCUGGAGAAGGUCCCAAGGGUUCGGCUGUUCGCCGAUUAAAGUGGCACGUGAACUGGGUUCAGAACGUCGCAAGACAGUUCGGUCCCUAUCUGUGAUGGGCGUUAGUAAAUUGAGAGGACAUGACCUUAGUACGAGAGGACCGGGUCGUAUGUACCGCUGGUGUAUCUGUUGUGCCGCCAGGUGCAAUGCAGAGUAGCUAUGUACAGGCAGGAUAAACGCUGAAAGCAUCUAAGCGUGAAACCUUCCUCAAGA
rnacentral:rRNA from 1 species